rnacentral:rRNA from 1 species
GACGAACGCUGGCGGCGUGCCUAAUACAUGCAAGUCGAACGAGAGCGACCGGUGCUUGCACUGGUCAAUCUAGUGGCGAACGGGUGAGUAACACGUGGGUAACCUGCCCAUCAGAGGGGGAUAACAUUCGGAAACGGAUGCUAAAACCGCAUAGGUUCUUGAGUCGCAUGACUCAGGAAGGAAAAGAGGCUUCGGCUUCUGCUGAUGGAUGGGCCCGCGGUGCAUUAGCUAGUUGGUGAGGUAACGGCUCACCAAGGCCGUGAUGCAUAGCCGACCUGAGAGGGUGAUCGGCCACAUUGGGACUGAGACACGGCCCAAACUCCUACGGGAGGCAGCAGUAGGGAAUCUUCCGCAAUGGACGCAAGUCUGACGGAGCAACGCCGCGUGAGUGAAGAAGGAUUUCGGUUCGUAAAACUCUGUUGUUAGAGAAGAACAGCGCAUAGAGUAACUGUUAUGCGUGUGACGGUAUCUAACCA